rnacentral:lncRNA from 1 species
CCUGGUCCCCUGACCCCCAGGCCUGGGUUCUUUAGCCAUAUUUCGGGUGUCCAGAUCAAGUGAUGCCCCACCCACUCAUGAUAAGCCCCUCCCCCAUCUGACCCAGCCGCCCCCCAAACAAUGAUAUCCACGGCUACGGAACCCCAUCCCUCCGACCCCACCCCACUGCGCCCUGUCCUUCUGAGAAAGCCUUAUUAGCAGCUUUGCUGCUAGUAGGCUCAUGUCGGGACCCAUGGUGGUUUAGUGAAACCUGCAUGUCUUGACUUUUUCGUGCCUAGCGCAGAGUCCAGGACCCAUCCCGGCCCUGGAGCGACAAGGUGGGGAAGACAUCAGUGGAGCACUUCCUGUUGAAAGAACACUGAAUUGAGCGCUGGGAAAGCACUCCUGGCUGGGAAUCAGACCCGAUCAUUGCCCCUUGGGGUCUUCCGGUCUAACAGUUUCAGCGAGGGAGAGGCCUGGGCUAGACACAUGGGGAGUGACGAAAUGAUAAAGCACAACCCAAGGUGAGCCUUGGCGGGGACUGAUACAACAUGGGGAGGGAGAAAAGAGACAGGGAGCGAGGGGCCACCGCCCGUCCCCCCGAUGGUAGGUUUUCCCACCAGUCUGUUUCUUUCUAGAGUUCCCAUGGUGGAGUACGACUGGCAGAAAUUACACAAGUACCAGCAGAGAAGGCGGGCAUACAUCGUAAUCGAUGGGACUCUCCAAAAUUUACACCAAAUACUAGAGGAGGAGGAGAAGAAGAAGAUGAAAGAGAAGAAGGAAGAUGAGAAGAAGGAGAAGACGGAGGAGGAGAGGGAAGAUAAGAAGGAGGAGGAGGAAGACAAGAAGGAAGAGAAGACAGAGCAAAAGGAAGACAUGAAGGAGGAGAAGAUGGAGGAGAAGGAGGAAGACAAGAAGGAAGAGGAGGAGGAGAAGAUGGAAGAGGGGGAGAAAUAUGAAGGGCCCCAGCACUUUCUGUCCCCAGAGCCCGCCACAGAUGGUGAUGUUCUGCGGGCUGGGGACUCUGUUCCCAAAGCCCAGAAAAAUUUGGCCCGAGGCAAGAAAAGCCUCCAGAGAAAAGAGGAAAAGGGGAGGCUGGGCUGUAUGGCCCGUGUCCAGAGGUGGGUGAGGAAUUCCCUGCGGAGGAGUACCAGGGUGGAACCCUAGGGCGAUUCUCAUUUGACAGGAAGGAUCGACUGAAACCGAGUGUCUUUGUGGAGAUGUGUAUUGUAUGGGAGUGGGGAAGAAUUUAUAACGAAAUUUGCGUAGCUCCACAGCUUGAGAGUGUGGUUGGAGCUACCACUUUAGAAGCUUAAAAGGGAGAAUUUCUUUGUGUGAAGGCUCUUCCUUCGAACCGUGAUUAGCUCACUUUAUUGUGAAGUAUGGAUCUCAUGAAGGGAAAAGUGAGUUCUCAAUUGGUUAAGCAUGAAAAUGCAAAGCAGGUGAUAGUUUAGCCUAUAGGGUGGUUAUUUCAAAUACUGUCAGAGAUUCUACUGUGUUAACUGUAGAUUUUACUAAUUUGGUUAAGGGAUAUAUAGAUAAGUUGAAUAACAACUUUAAUCUUUAUAUCUGGCCAGAUGGCCUGAGUAAAGAAAUUUAUCUUGUUUUGUUGUUCAGUGUGGAACUAACAAUGUGUAAGGAAAAAAAGGAAUGUAAAGAAAACAUAUAUGUUCCCUUCUUUCAUCAAUUUGAAUAAAUGGGUAAAUGGAAAUUUG